CGGUGUAAUGUUGUUUUCUGCAAAGCCCGGUCACCACGUCAAGAUUCCUCCUUUUUGCCCGGGCAAUCCACCACCGUUUACCUGGGGACAAUAAAUAUGCCAAGUGGGGCUCCUGCAUAUAUGAUAUAUCUCUAUAUAAACGAGCAAUGUUUUGUAGCAUACUCAAACUCGAAAUCAGAUCUCAGAUCUAAGGAUCCCAGAAGUUGCAGAGUUCAGGAUUGGAUUUUGUCAAGUGAUCCAGAUUCAUAUUUACUGAGAGAUGGGAAAAUCUGCCAUCAAAGGAUCAGGAAAAAUUCAUGAUCCAGGGGGACCUUUGACCCUUUUCAAGUGGAACAUGAUGAUGAUGAUACUGUCAUGUGUGCCUGGUGAUUUAGUGGAUGCUUUGUUCCUUUUACAUCCCUAUCAUCAACGAGGAUAUGAAAACUCUUCUUCCCCUGCUUUAUAUGGCAGGAGUUCUGUGUUUUUUAUUUUAGUUUUUUUUUUUUUUUCUUAAAUCACUCCAUUCAUUCACGAUGUCAGUGAGAUUAUUCACGAUGUCAGUGAGAUUUAACCAGUAAACACCAGUGUUUGUUAAGUCAACUAACAAACAAGAUUAUUGCUCUAUAAAUUCACCAAAUACAACACUGUUUGAUUUUGUAUCAAACUUGUAAACCUUUUUGGCGGGGCUGCCUGGCAAAACUAAGUAUGGAUGAACAAGUGUCGGCAAGCAAUCUGCGAGCAUCUCAGAACCAUGAGCUAAGUGGAGCAGCUUUCUAGGUCUUGUUAAAUAUUUGUAACUAAUGUAACGACCAAUGUCUUGGAGCAGUCAUGACUAAUGAAAUCAGCUUUUAUAUCUGGGUGCAAUAUCUCCAGUA